UGGUGGGUAGUUUGACUGGGGCGGUCUCCUCCUAAAGAGUAACGGAGGAGCACGAAGGUUGGCUAAUCCUGGUCGGACAUCAGGAGGUUAGUGCAAUGGCAUAAGCCAGCUUGACUGCGAGCGUGACGGCGCGAGCAGGUGCGAAAGCAGGUCAUAGUGAUCCGGUGGUUCUGAAUGGAAGGGCCAUCGCUCAACGGAUAAAAGGUACUCCGGGGAUAACAGGCUGAUACCGCCCAAGAGUUCAUAUCGACGGCGGUGUUUGGCACCUCGAUGUCGGCUCAUCACAUCCUGGGGCUGAAGUAGGUCCCAAGGGUAUGGCUGUUCGCCAUUUAAAGUGGUACGCGAGCUGGGUUUAGAACGUCGUGAGACAGUUCGGUCCCUAUCUGCCGUGGGCGCUGGAGAACUGAGGGGGGCUGCUCCUAGUACGAGAGGACCGGAGUGGACGCAUCACUGGUGUUCGGGUUGUCAUGCCAAUGGCACUGCCCGGUAGCUAAAUGCGGAAGAGAUAAGUGCUGAAAGCAUCUAAGCACGAAACUUGCCCCGAGAUGAGUUCUCCCUGAGACUUAAAGUCUCCUGAAGGAACGUUGAAGACGACGACGUUGAUAGGCCGGGUGUGUAAGCGCAGCGAUGCGUUGAGCUAACCGGUACUAAUGAACCGUGAGGCUUAACCUUAC
rnacentral:rRNA from 2 species